rnacentral:rRNA from 1 species
CGGGUUAGGACUGAGCGGCGAACGGGUGAGUUACACGUGGGUUACCUGCCCAUCAGCGGGGGAGUACCCCNGGGAAACCGGGACUAAUACCCCAUAAUUCCAGUUGACAGCAGUUGAUUGGAAAAAGGCGGCCUCUUAGAAGCUGUCACUGAUGGAUGGGCCCGCGUCCCAUUAGUUAGUUGGUGGGGUAAGAGCCUACCAAGACAGCGAUGGGUAGCCGGCCUGAGAGGGUGGCCGGUCACGCUGGGACGUGAGACACGGCCCAGACUCCUACGGGAGGCAGCAGUAGGGAAUUUUGCACAAUGGGGGCAACCCUGAUGCAGCGACGCCGCGUGAGCGAUGAAUGCCUUCGGGUUGUAAAGCUCUGUCAUGGGGGACGAACGUCCCGGUAGCAAAUAGUUGCCGGGAGUGACGGUACCCCAGAAGGAAGCCCCGGCUAACUACGUGCCAGCAGCCGCGGUAAUACGUAGGGGGCAAGCGUUGUCCGGAAUUACUGGGCGUAAAGGGCACGCAGGCGGUCUGGCCAGUCUGAUGUGAAAGGCCCCGGCUCAACCGGGGAGUGGCAUUGGAAACUGCCAGGCUUGAGGACGGAAGAGGAGAGCGGAAUUCCCGGUGUAGCGGUGGAAUGCGUAGAGAUCGGGAGGAACACCAGUGGCGAAGGCGGCUCUCUGGUCCGUACCUGACGCUGAGGUGCGAAAGCGUGGGUAGCGA